rnacentral:rRNA from 1 species
CCUACGGGUGGCAGCAGUGGGGGAUAUUGCACAAUGGGGGAAACCCUGAUGCAGCGAUGCCGCGUGAAUGAAGACGGCCUUCGGGUUGUAAAGUUCUGUCGCAGGGGACGAAAAUGACGGUACCCUGCAAGAAAGCUCCGGCUAACUACGUGCCAGCAGCCGCGGUAAUACGUAGGGAGCAAGCGUUGUCCGGAAUUAUUGGGUUUAAAGGGUGCGUAGGCGGACAGUCAAGUCAGCGGUAAAAAUGCGGUGCUCAACGCCGUACAGCCGUUGAAACUGGCAGUCUUGAGUGGGCGAGAAGUAUGCGGAAUGCGUGGUGUAGCGGUGAAAUGCAUAGAUAUCACGCAGAACUCCGAUUGCGAAGGCAGCAUACCGGCGCCCGACUGACGCUGAGGCACGAAAGCGUGGGUAUCGAACAGGAUUAGAUACCCUGGUAGUC